UUACCUCAGUAACGGCGAGUGAAGCGGUAACAGCUCAAAUUUGAAAUCUGGCUCUUUUAGGGUCCGAGUUGUAAUUUGUAGAAGAUGCUUUGGGCGUGGCUCCGGUCUAAGUUCCUUGGAACAGGACGUCAUAGAGGGUGAGAAUCCCGUAUGUGACUGGUAGCUUUCGCCCGUGUAAAGCUCUUUCGACGAGUCGAGUUGUUUGGGAAUGCAGCUCAAAAUGGGUGGUAAAUUUCAUCUAAAGCUAAAUAUUGGCCAGAGACCGAUAGCGCACAAGUAGAGUGAUCGAAAGAUGAAAAGCACUUUGGAAAGAGAGUUAAACAGUACGUGAAAUUGUUGAAAGGGAAGCGCUUGCAACCAGACUCGCAGGCCGUCGAUCAUCCAGGGUUCUCCCCGGUGCACUCGGCGGUUUUCGGGCCAGCAUCGGUUUGGGUGGUGGGAUAAAGGCCUUGGGAAUGUAGCUUCUUUCGGGGAGUGUUAUAGCCCUCGGUGCAAUGCCGCCUACCCGGACCGAGGACCGCGCUUCGGCUAGGAUGCUGGCGUAAUGGUUGUAAGCGACCCGUCUUGAAACACGGACCAAGGAGUCUAACAUCUAUGCGAGUAUUUGGGUGUUAAACCCAUAUGCGUAAUGAAAGUGAACGGAGGUGAGAACCCUUAAGGGUGCAUCAUCGACCGAUCCUGAUGUCUUCGGAUGGAUUUGAGUAAGAGCAUAGCUGUUGGGACCCGAAAGAUGGUGAACUAUGCCUAAAUAGGGUGAAGCCAGAGGAAACUCUGGUGGAGGCUCGCAGCGGUUCUGACGUGCAAAUCGAUCGUCAAAUUUGGGUAUA
rnacentral:rRNA from 1 species